CUUAUUUAUAUUGACGGCAUUUCAUUUCAUUAGAGGAACCUGUUUUAUAAUCGACAAUACACGAUAAUUUUCACUUUUCUAAAAAGUUUAUAUACCGUCGUACAGAAUUUAUUUAAUUAUAAAUUCAAAAAAAUAAUUAAAAGUUUAGAUCAAGGUGUAAUCAACAUAAAAGUAUAAAUAUGUUACAUUAAAAGAAAUUUAAAGAAAAUUUAAUUAAAAUUUAAUUUGAAUUAGGAUUUAAAAGUAAUUGAUUAAAUAAUUUUUAUCUCUGAAUAAAAUAAA
rnacentral:rRNA from 1 species